CAGAGGUCCCAAGCGUUGUUCGGAUUUACUGGGCGUAAAGGGUGCGUAGGCGGUUGGGUAAGUCUGACGUGAAAUCUCCGGGCCUAACCCGGAAACUGCGUUGGAUACUAUCCAGCUAGAGGAAUGGAGGGGAGACUGGAAUACUUGGUGUAGCAGUGAAAUGCGUAGAUAUCAAGUGGAACACCAGUGGCGAAGGCGAGUCUCUGGACAUUUCCUGACGCUGAGGCACGAAAGCCAGGGGAGCAAACGGGAUUAGAUACCCCGGUAGUCCUGGCCCUAAACGGUGCGCGUUUGCUGUAAGUGGAAUCGACCCCGCUUGUGGCGAAGUUAACACGUUAAACGCGCCGCCUGGGAAGUACGGCCGCAAGGUUA
rnacentral:rRNA from 1 species